rnacentral:lncRNA from 1 species
UUGGCCUAUAAUUGUUGCCCAGAUCUUUUGCUUAACUGAGCAAGAAAAAAGAUAAUGGCAACAAGAGAUUAGAUGACUGAAAAUGUGCAUAAGAUCGUGAUUUUCAACCUUGAGACUUUACCUGCAUCUCUCUAGCCAUUGAAGGUAGCCACCUCUCUCCCUUAAUCCUUUUCAGUUCCGCGAUCCUGGCUUCCUCUCUCUUGGCUCUUUCUUUGGCUGUUGCUUCUUUAGCUUCUAAUCUAGCUAACGAUCUCUGGCUUGCAUCUCUUGCUGCAGCCAAUAUAUCUUUUCCAUCAACAGCUAUGGACCGUAGUUGUCGUCUGAACUGCAUACCACCAUGUAGCCAAAUAUAAAUUAAGAGGAAUAAUCCAAAGUAAAAAGGGGGAGAAAAGAGUUAACAGAAACAAAA